AAGAGUUUGAUCAUGGCUCAGAUUGAACGCUGGCGGCAGGCCUAACACAUGCAAGUCGAACGGUAACAGGAAGCAGCUUGCUGCUUCGCUGACGAGUGGCGGACGGGUGAGUAAUGUCUGGGAAACUGCCUGAUGGAGGGGGAUAACUACUGGAAACGGUGGCUAAUACCGCAUAACGUCGCAAGACCAAAGAGGGGGACCUUCGGGCCUCUUGCCAUCAGAUGUGCCCAGAUGGGAUUAGCUAGUUGGUGAGGUAACGGCUCACCAAGGCGACGAUCCCUAGCUGGUCUGAGAGGAUGACCAGCCACACUGGAACUGAGACACGGUCCAGACUCCUACGGGAGGCAGCAGUGGGGAAUAUUGCACAAUGGGCGCAAGCCUGAUGCAGCCAUGCCGCGUGUAUGAA
rnacentral:rRNA from 1 species